UACGUAGGGCGCGAGCGUUGUCCGGAAUUAUUGGGCGUAAAGAGCUCGUAGGCGGCCUGUUGCGUCCGCUGUGAAAUCCCAGGGCUCAACCCUGGGCGUGCAGUGGAUACGGGCAGGCUAGAGUUCGGCAGGGGAGACUGGAAUUCCUGGUGUAGCGGUGAAAUGCGCAGAUAUCAGGAGGAACACCGGUGGGCGAAGGCGGUUCUCUGGGCAUUACCUGACGCUGGAGGAGCGAAAGCAGUGGGGAGCGAACAGG
rnacentral:rRNA from 1 species